UUCAUUUGAAUCAUCCUUCUGUUCUUCUUUUCUCACUUCUUUGUACUCGUUCCUUUUUAGUAGUGUUGUAGUGUAGCAAUUUUUUUAAUAAUUGAGAUAAGUUAUCUCAAUUGGGUAGAUAGGUGAGCGGUAGAAAGUCUCGGUAAUGUUUUACCGUGGUAGGAAUAUUUUCUUAUGAGCGAUAAAAAUAGUGAGUAGUUGUUUCGGGGUUGGGAAACGCUCGAGAGACACUAUUUUUGGAUCGAUUCGGAUCGCCUUGUAGCUACCUUGUUAUAGUGAAGAAGUGCUCGUAGCUGUCGUUGCUGCCUUAGAUGUACUCUCCGCAUUGGAGGGGAACUACGUAAAUCCCGAUGUUAUUUACUUAUCGUUUUGUGCUUGGCAAUUUCGAGAAUAUUUGUUGUAUAGUGCAUUAUUAAUAUUACCACAGUAAAUUAGUCUAAGGAGGUUGGCUUAAUUAUCGUCAUCAUGGUAUUAUGGUGAUAAUCACCCAUCCAUAGUGAUUUUAAGUGUGGCGGACUACCCCACUUCCAACCCGUUUGAGAUAUAUUUACUCUAUUCUCGUCCGCUGCACCCCAACACAGAUUGCCGAAGGCUUAGACGCCCAAUUCCCUCAAAAUAGGCACCUUGGGCCCAAUAUUCGCCCUAAGACACCUAUCCGGUGAUGGCUCAUGGCUCAAAGUCGUGGCCAUUAAUGCAGAGUGCUAUUCUGUAGCUGGUGAAAAUGAUGUUCCAAAAUCAGUAUGUUCCAUUGCUUCAUUCCCUUGUAUAUUUCUCAAUUCCUUAUUCAUGUUUGUUAACUGAACUUAACAGACCUCGUCGAUAUACUGGACGAUGACGAGGGAAUCAGAGAUGGGUUUGUCGUUGUGGAUCAAGACAAGGAUUUGGUUGGUGGCUGGGUUCAUUUCCCCAAAGCAGAGUGCUCUUCUUCGUGCCUAGACUCGUACUCAGUAACGCCCAUUUCGGCCAGCGCAAUCUUUACUCUGGCUGAAAACGGACUCGCUCCCCAGCCAACAAGUAUGAGCUUGCCCGAGUUAGCAGCCAUUACUUACUUAGUUUGUUGCAGAAGGUAAUAGUAAGUAAGAGUAGUAAUUAGUCAACUAGUUGAAAGGGUUAGCUAUUGUUUGUGAAAGUGGAUGUGCAGUGCAGGGCUUAGAUGCAGAUUUUGUUGAUGGAGUUGAGGAUGUGUGCAAUACAGGUCUGGUUUUUUGUUAUGAAUAAGAUAACAAAUCCAUCAGGAAACUGGGAAAUGUAUCUUUGGAAAGGUGUAAGAGCAUUUUACCCUUGCGGUGGUUACAUGACAGCAUAAAAAUUAUAUCAGUGUCCGAGCACACGCGAGAUGUACUUAAAGUAGAGCCCAAUAUCUUCAAAUCGUCAACACAU
rnacentral:lncRNA from 1 species